rnacentral:rRNA from 1 species
CCUACGGGAGGCAGCAGUGGGGAAUAUUGGGCAAUGGGCGCAAGCCUGACCCAGCAACGCCGCGUGAAGGAAGAAGGCUUUCGGGUUGUAAACUUCUUUUGUCAGGGACGAAGCAAGUGACGGUACCUGACGAAUAAGCCACGGCUAACUACGUGCCAGCAGCCGCGGUAAUACGUAGGAUGCGAGCGUUAUCCGGAAUUACUGGGUGUAAAGGGAGCGCAGGCGGGACUGCAAGUUGGAUGUGAAAUACCGCAGCUUAACUGCGGAGCUGCAUCCAAAACUGUAGUUCUUGAGUGGAGUAGAGG